AAGAGAGUUUGGGUAGCUGAAUUCCUUUUUUUUUACAGUGUAGGGAAAGUCUACAUCUGGCAUAAGAAUUCAAACAGAAAGUUGUGAAACCACAGCAGUUGUUUCACUGGGACUAGCCAAAAAAAAAAAAAAAGAAGAAGAAGAAAAGAACCCUCAAACUUGGAGAACUUAAUUCAUGACUUGUGAUUCAACUGUGGAAUAUGCUGUGCCACACAACUACAGAUACACAAACAGUGUUAAUACAUGGGCUUGCAUUUCUGUUGUGAGGAACUGCAAGGCAAAAAAAGCAUCUUUUUACAAGAGCUUUUACUUAGAUAUUUCACUGUUGCCCUUUGGGCUUCAAUCUGUGGGGGGAAAAAAAGUUGCUAUUUCUCUUCUUACCAUGUAAAAUGCCAGUGUGAAAAUGUUGCUAGAUAGCAAAAUUCAGGAAAGAAAAUCUGAGUUAUUCCCAUCAGCACAUAAGAUUUACAUUAUUUUGGGGAUCAUUUAUUAGAAAACAUAGCGGAGCUCUUAUUAUAGUCCUUGGUGUGAUGAAAACUUCUGUGGAAGCCCUGAGUAGCAGCAAAGGAAAGGAAUGAAGCCAAAUACAAGUAGUUGUGGGUGAUGCGUUUUGAAUGUUGAUGCCAAAACCCAGUAAAUUAUAACUAAGGUAAGUACCCUCUAAAACUGAGGACUUCCUUCCUGAGAGACCAAGAUACUGCCUUGAAGUCUGCAACAGUGGAAAAAUAUGGAUUUUCUCCUUAUUAGGCUUUUUCUUCCAAAUCAGGGAAAACUGAUUUCUUUUAUGGGAAGGGAAGAGAAGAAUGGAAGUAAUAUGAAAACCUGAGAAACCCCAGGUUUCCAUUCCCCCACUGACAUAAUGAUAAUGAAUUUUCUAACAUAAAUUCAUUUUUUUCCACUACUUUUACUGCACCCCAGGAAUGAAUUUAGUACUAAGGCUCUUUAACAGCUUUGGAAGCCACCUCUGGUGAAGUUUAAACUUGACAAACUUAGUAUCUGGAAGUCCAAAGCUUUGAAAGUUGAGGAAUGUCUAGCUCAGCAAUGGGUACCACCAUUGAAAUGAGCAGCUCCUCCCUGCUUUUGGGUGGUAACUCUGAUUUCAGAUUCCUCACCCCAGGAAUCUGACAGCACUUGCUACAGUUGGAGUGAGAGCCUGGUAAGUCCUGGUAACAUUUUAGGCUAUUUCUGCUAAAGGAGGAGACAGAAAUUGUAGUUGAGUUGGAUAUAACAGGGUUGCUCUGGUAACAUGGGCAAUCAAAAUACACACAAUGUAUCUUCCUGAGAAACAAGCCCCAUUGUAUAUGUGCAAAAAUGAAGUAAAUCCAUGCUGAGUAAACAAAAUAAUAAUGUAGUCUACCUGCAAUGGUUUGGGGUUCUGAUCCACAGGAAUGAUGAGAAUCACAAUUUCUGAUUCUAUGCUUAAAUAUCCAAACACAUCACACUGUGGCACUGACACAUGCAGGCGGAUUUUUUCAAGAAUGUCAAGUACUGUUAUCGGCUUUUUAUUUGUUACCUGGAAGAAAAUAAAGAACUUUGUGGAUGAUGCGAUAUUAUGGAAAAUUCUCCUCCUCAGUUUCAACAACUUGAUGUCAUGCCAGAAAACUUGUUUCAGCCAUUAUACUCAGUUCUAAACUCUACCCUAAAUGCUACCAAAAAGCAAAACAAUUCAAUGAUUCUAAAAUAUAAUUCUAGAAAAUUAUUCUGAUUCUAAAAAAAACCUCCAAACCCAAACCACCUGAAAACAUUAAAAGAAAAAGUUAAAAGGAAGAAAGGGGGAAAAUAUUUACUUCUUAGAUUAACCAUUGUUUUGGUAUGUGUUGUUCUCCACCUUCAUGGUUAGUGUGUCUAUGUAUCAUGUACCUCAAAAUAAUAUAAAUGGUUAUCUGUUACAGCAACUUGUGCUCCCGUGCUGGGAAACAAGAGGCAGAGCAGCCCUGCCAGCUGGCACUGCUUUACAGCCUCAGAACCUGUUCCAAGAGUCAGCAGAGAUGGAGAGCUUUGUGAGGACAGAUAUAUGUCUGUACCUAUGGGAACCUGUGACAUUUUAAGUUCAGUACUUAACUACCAGCUUGGUAUCCCACAGUGGUAUCUGUGCUGCCACUUCCGAAAAAUUGCUCAUCAGAUUCCUAGAGACAUCCUGCUCGAGAUACCACAGACCUCAUUCAUUUCUCCCAAACCCAUCUCCUGGGCAGAGUUGCAAGUUUCUCAAGACUGAAGGAGCCUGACUCCUAAAGCCAAAGCUUUCCACUCCAGGGUUACCAUCUGGGUCCUGAUACUGGCUUGUUCUAGCCUUAAGUAGAGAGAGAUCUCUACUUCAUCCUUUCUCUUCAAAGUCUCAAAGACAUCAUGGAAUAUAACAUUUCAAAGCAUAAGUUUUGUUCUAAAUAUCCCCCUAUUUAUACACAGAUUCUCUCCUCUCUGCAUUAAACUUCCACAGCAAAUUAACAUACCUGGUGCAAUGACUGGUUUGCAGCCAGUGGCAGAAAGCUGGGGACACUUCACAAAGGCACACUCCAUAUGGAAGCCGUAGUCCGAGAGCACCCCCACAGCCUGGCAGUGUCCGUGAUAGUCCACGGCCACGCGGUCGGAGUAGGCAGCACAGACGCUGCUGUAGGUUUCUCCGUUGUGUCCACACACAGGCUCCACUGACUUGCAAAAUGGCUGAAACACACAGGAAUGUUUCCAAGGUCAAUUCAGUCAUGCUACAGAAGCUUCAGAGUAGUUUUAACAUGAGGAAAACCAAAGCUAAAGGGAAUUCACUGCUAAUAUUAUCAAACAUUGAAAAAGUAGGAAGUUGGGAGUAAAUAACCUGCCAGUUUAUGAAUGGGUCAUAAAUGAAAAGGGUAAGUAUGUAAAGAAGGUACAGAGAAAUGUAAGGUGGAAUCUGGGAAAUGUACAAUAAAUCAUGUUUUGGAAAAGAACAACUUUUGUUCUGUGCUAACAUUUAAAUAAAAUGACCAUAUAUAAAUUAA